rnacentral:sRNA from 1 species
UCGAGGAAUAGAGGCCACAGGGGUGGGCA